rnacentral:rRNA from 1 species
UGAAAAUUUAAUUCUAGUUUAAUUAUGUAUAUAUAAAUCAAAAAAAUUAUAUAAAAUUUUGUAAAUCUUUUAUUUGUAGUUAAAAAUUUUAUUAAUUAAUGUUAAUUAGAAUUUGUUGUGAUUUUUAGUGAUGGUAAAAAUAUGUGCCAGCAACUGCGGUUAUACUAUUGUUACAAAUAUACAAUUUUUUAUAAUGGUAAAUUAAUUUAAGUGAAAUUUAAAAUUAUUUUUAAAGUGAAAUAUAAAAAUAUUUUAAAAAUCAAUUUUUAAUUUUAUUAAAUUUUUGACAAAAACUAGGAUUAGAUACCCUAUUAUUAAAAAUUUAUAAAUUAGGUAGUAAAGAUUUUUCCGAAACCUAAAGAAUUUGGCGGUAUUUUAAAUAAUUAGAGGAACCUGUUAUUAAAGUGAUAAUCCACAACAUAUCUCACCUAGAAUUUGUUUGUAUAUCGUUGUUUUCAGGUAAUAUUUAAAAAUAAUUACCAAUUUCAAUUUUAUUUUAUAAAUCAAAUCCGGGUGCAGCAUAUUUAGGAUAUAAUGGGUUACAAUAUAAAUUAUAUAUACAAAUAUAAAAUGAAAAUAUUAUGGAAGGUGGAUUUAAAAGUAAAGUGAAAAUAAAAAGUUCUCUUGAUUAAAAAUUUAAAAUAUGCACAUAUCGCCCGUCACUCUUUCUGCAUUUAAAGGAAGAUAAGUCGUAACAAAGUAGGUUUACUGGAAAGUGAACCUAGAUUGAA